UUUUUUUUUUUUUUUUUAAUGACUGCAGUAUUCAUUUUAUUUUUAUAUUAUUUAUUUAUUCUUCCUUAGUUUCUUGAGAUUAUCAUCCGCUGAGGGUGGAAGGGGAGUGAGCAGACACACUCAGGAGGUGUCUUGAGAUUAUCAUCCGCUGAGGGUGGAAGGGGAUAGAGCAGGCACUCGGCAGGUGUCUUGAGAUUAUCAUCCGCUGAGGGUGGAAGGGGAUAGAGCAGGCACUCGGCAGGUGUCUUGAGAUUAUCAUCCGCUGAGGGUAGAGCUGAGGGUGGAAGGGGAGUGAGCAGACACUCGGGAGGUGUCUUGAGGCUCAGGGAGUUAUCAAUUAUAGAAUGUUGUUGAGUUGGAGGAGGUGGCUGGUGGCCCAUCCUGUUUUUUAAAGUUUCAGCUGUGAGGUAGGGCCAGUAGGGCAAUCCUG
rnacentral:lncRNA from 1 species